CCCUAAGCCUUUUACUCUUACCACAUGUAUCUGCAACUUCAAAACACGAGCCUGAGGAAUUUUUCUGGAAGAUGAGUACAUGUUUUGUUGACAGUCUGAGUUGCUCUGUAGUUAGUAAAGAGACAGAUACAUGGGAAGGAAGAAAGUUGAGAUGUCUUUGACGAGUGGUAAUUAUUGUUGUUGCUAAUGGAGUUGAAUGGAAUGUGUUGGAUAUGGAUUUAGCGCAUAGCAUUUAGCAGGAAAAAGCAAGUAGAUGGGAAAAGCCAAUUGAUAAAUUUAAGUUCUGCUGGAACUUCCAUUUGUCACGAAACUAAUACUCUUUUCUGUCAGCAUGAAUUUUUCCACACUUGAACUUGGAUGUGUAAAUGUACAAAUGGCCUGGAGUGAUGUUUACAUUUUCUUUACUUCAUAAUUUAUUAUAGCAGCAG
rnacentral:misc_RNA from 1 species